GCCGGUGUAGCUCAGUUGGUAGAGCAGCUGACUUGUAAUCAGCAGGUCGUCCGUUCGAGUCGGAUCGCCGGCU
rnacentral:tRNA from 1 species